GGCACUGUGGCAUAGUGGGUAAAGCCACUGCCUGCAGUGCUGGGAUCCCCUAUAUAUGCUGGUUCAAGUCCUGCCUGUUUCA
rfam:Oryctolagus cuniculus unplaced genomic scaffold chrTn0707, whole genome shotgun sequence.